GUCAGAAGCCAUGGAGUCAGCAUUAUCACCAAGGAUAUUAUUGAAUACCCAAAUAAAACGAACUGAUACAUAUUUCUCCAAAACCUUCACAAGAAGUCGACUGUUUUCUUUAGUAGGCUAACUUUUUAAACAUUCCACAAGAGGAAGUGCCUGCGGGUUCCUUUUUUAGAAGCUUUUCUGUCCAUGUGAAUGUGCUGUGUGGAAGAGUUAAAGGGCCCAACUAAAUGUUCCAGUGAUUCCAAUAGCUAUUUAGCUGGUACCUACUGCUAUAUCACCUAGUGUGACAUUUCGGAAUUAAUGGAACAAUGAAGGAAGCUGUACACUGGAGGUUCCAGGUGGUCAUGGAAGGUUUCCAGUUUAUGCAAACUUCUGUGAAAAUGAGCUUUGUUAUUGGUGAAGACAUUGGAAAUUUUACCAGCCAAAACAGAGUUUCUCUCUUAU
rnacentral:lncRNA from 1 species